GUUGCUUGGGGUGGGGGCUGCAAUUCUUUACAGGACUCUCCUUGGAGUCUGGGAGUAGCCUCAUACCCUCAGCUGGACUGGCAAAGCAGUAUAUCUGUGCAUCAGGGCACUUUAUUCACCCUUCACAGGGUCACAGGUCUGCAAGGAACAGAAAUCUGUAACUACUACCCCUACAAAAGGAGCAUUGGCUCGACUGGUGCCCUCAUGUUAGGGCAGGCAGGCAUCUGCAGAAACAGCCCUCUGCAGUUGAGGCCCAUCCUGUGAGGCAAUCUGCGAAGGAAGUGUGAGAACCACCAUCCUGAGGAAAGCUGUGAAGGAAGAGUGAGGAACGCGACGGACUCCCUGAAAGCAAAGGAGGAGAAAGAAGCCACGUGGUGAAGUCAGCGAGAAAUCACCAGAUUCGGUGGGACUGAUUCAGCAGAUGGUGCCCUGUGUGAGGAAUGCUGCAACAAAUUAUGAUGAAACACUCCAAAAUGAAGGUGAAGAGGCUGUGCAGUGCGUAAGUCAUUGGUGCCCACUUGGGACUUCCAUGUUCGAGGGAAUUGUUCAGGCGAGGGUUUCAUCAUGGAACAUCGGUUAUUAUCUCAACAUCAGAAGUAUAUCAAAGAACUGAAACAGCUGCUUAAAGCUAGAGGAUCCUCGGCAUCACAGUCUCAAUUAAGGGACCUAAGCAAACUCUUUUUCUUUUUUUUUCCAUAACCCAUUGUUCCCGGAAGAAGCACACUAGACAUAGACCUCUGGGAAUGAGUGGGGAGAAAUCUUAAACAACAUCAUGCACAAGGGCCACAGGUUCCAGUUACAUCUUUAACAUUAUGAUUCUUAGUUAGGACUGCUUUGGUCCCAGUCUACACAGAAAAACCUAAGAAGAGAAGGGAGGAGGAACCAUCACCUACCUUACAACCUCUUCCCACUCCCUCUGUUCCACUCUUAGUAGUAAAAGUGCCACAGAUGAAGUGGAGGUUUCCCCUAAUCCCCCUCCCCCAAUAAAUUGGAGAAAGGACAAAAAAUAUGCUACAGAUAUGGGACUCUGUCUUAGGCAAGCGGCAUUAGAGGGGGAAAUCUUGGCUUACCCAGUAGUGCAAGAUCAAUAAGGCAAUCAGGUACAUAAAGAAAUAAGAAAAAGCAUUAGAUAAAAUGUAUCCCCUAGCCAGUUUAUGAGAGGGUUAAUUGAGGUCACUCUACAGACCUCUUUGUAAUAAUGGUCACUGUUAUUUCUCCCCUAUUCCUGACAUGCCUCUCUUAAAAUACUAUUUUGAUAGAACAGUAGCCUUUACAGUAAGAGAAGUUACAACAAGCCUAUGAAUAAGUUGAGGAGCAAUCAGAAUCUGGCCUUAUAGAACCAUCAAAGAGUCCUUGGAAUUUUCCCAUUUUCUUCAUUCCCAAAAGGUCUGGCAAAUGGAGAUUUUCCAUGACUUAUGGGCUAUCAAUGCUAAUUUGCAAACAUUAGGGCCCCUUCAACAGGGGAUCCCUUCUCCCGUGGCUAUUCCUCAAGAUUGGCCUAUAGUUAUUAUUGACUUAAAAGGCUGCCUUUAUGCUAUUCCCCUUGAAGAAGAGGACACAUAAUAAUUUACAUUUACCAUAGCAGCUAUCAAUAAUGAAAGGCCAGCUCACAGAUUUCAUUAGAAAGUACUUCCUCAAGGGAUGCUGAGCAGUCCUACUGAGAGAUAGAACUAGCUGGAUUUCCUAGACCAGCUAGGCAUUCCUAAGCCUAGCUGGGGAAGGUGAACACACCCACCUUUAAACUCAGGACUUGUAACUCAGCUCAUACCCAACCAAUCAGAUAGUAAAGAGAGGUUGCUAAAAUACCAAUUAGUAUAAAAGCAGAAGGUAAAGAGAUAAUCAAAUCAUCUAUUGCCCAAGAGCACAGAGGGAGGGACAAUGAUUGGGAUGUAAACCCAGGUAUUUGACCUGGCAGUAGCAACUCCCUUUGAGUCUCCUCCUGUUGUAUGGGAGCUCUGUUUUCACUCUAUUAAAUCUUGCAACUGCACACUUUUCUGGUCAUGUUUGUUCCAGCUUGAGCUGAGCUUUCACUCACCAUCCACCACUGCUGGUCAUGGCCGUUGCAGACCUGAUGCUGACUUCUACCCCUCUGGAUCUGGCAGAGUGUCCACUAAAAUUCUGAUUCAGUGAAGUGCCCAUUGUCACUCCCAAUGGGGCUAGAAGCUCACCUUUGUUCCUGCAUGGCUAAGAGCCCGGGUUCUUCCUAAUCAAGUUGAACACUAGUCACUGGGUUCCAUGGUUCUCUUCUGUGACCCAUGGUUUCUAAUAGAGCUAUAACAGUUACCACAUGGCCCAAGGUUUUAUUCCUUGGAAUUCAUGAGGCCAAGAACCCCUGGUCAGAGAACAAAAGGCUUGCCACCAUCUUGGAAGUGGCCUACCAGCCUCUUGGAGGCCCUAAGAACAAAGACCUGCCGGUAAUACUACCAUGUGUCAGUAUCAUGUAAGUCAGGCUUUGCUCCCCAGUAGAAAAGGACUUCCUUAUUGCAAGAUUAUUCUGGCUUAUGAUAGCUCACAAUUGACACAACUUUUUCAGUUGGGCAAAGUUGGAUCAUCCAACAUUCCACAGACAUGCCAUGUAAACCCCAACGACAGACAACAGUAGAACAUUCCCAUUUCACUCUUAAAUAUAGGCUCAGAAAACAAAGAAGAAGGAAUAUAAAUAAGGACCCUGCAACACUGUAGUGCAAGUUUUAUUCACCCUUAAUUUCUAAAAUUUAGAUAACAAAUUUCAAUUAGCUGUAGAAAAGAACUUUGCUAAAAACUCUCAAGACAUAAAACCUACAGUUUUAUGGAAAGUAUGUACGGUGUGGUCUAAAUGAUUUGCUAACAUGGGGAAGAGGAUAUGCUUAUGUUCACACCUCCUCAGGCCCUCUUUGAAUUCCAGUGCAGUACAUCAAAACUUAUCAUAGCAUGGCUAAAACACAGCCCAGCACCAGAAAUGAAGAAAAUGACCAUGUAAAACCUGCAGCCCCAGAAAAUGUGGCUUCCUUGUACAACUCAGGCCCCAGACAUUACCAGAGGGAGGAUGAAGAAAACAACUCAGAAGGCUAAGUGAAUCCUGCUCUGGACACAGACAUGAUUCACUCCAGAAAAUUUGUUUCUUGCUAUGUUUUAUUAAUCUUUCUUAUUUUAUCACUUUGUCUGCAAUCCAUACCUGCUACAAUCUAUUAGGCCCAUCUUUUAAAUCUGCCUUUCUACUGUCCUGUUACUUAGGAAAAAAAUAACCCUCCCAGCUUCUAAAAAUGUGACUGUUUGACUAGAAAGAGUUAAGAUAUCCGCAGUAGAGUUCCUUAGUGACAUCACACAUUGGACUGAGGUGCCUGGUAACACAACAUGCCACUACUUGAUUGGAAUACAAUGUUUCUUAUUAUA